UACGGAGGGGGCGAGUGUUGUUCGGAAUUACUGGGCGUAAAGGGCGCGCAGGCGGCAUGGCAAGUCGAGUGUGAAAUCCCUUGGCUUAACUAAGGAAUGGCGCUCGAAACUACCGCGCUGGAGGGCGGGAGAGGGAAGUGGAACUCUCGGUGUAGGGGUGAAAUCUGUAGAUAUCAGGAGGAACACCAAUAGCGAAGGCAGCUCGCUGGGACGUUACUGACACUGAGGCGCGAAAGCGUGGGGAGCGAACAGG
rnacentral:rRNA from 1 species